rnacentral:rRNA from 1 species
AUUGAACGCUGGCGGUAGGCCUAAUACAUGCAAGUCGAACGAGUGGCGGACGGGCGAGUAAUGUCUGGGAAACUGCCUGAUGGAGGGGGCUAACUGCUGGAAACGGUAGCUAAUAACGCAUACAACGCGAUGUGCUCAGAUGGAAUUAGCUAGUGGGUGGGGUAAAGGCUCACCUAGGCGACGCUCCCUAGCUGGUCUGAGAGGGUGACCGGCCACACUGGAACUGAGACACGGUCCAGACUCCUACGGGAGGCAGCAGUGGGGAAUAUUGCACAAUGGGCGCAAGCCUGAUGCAGCCAUGCCGCGUGUAUGAAGAAGGCCUUCGGGUUGUAAAGUACUUUCAGCGGGGAGGCGUUACCCGCAGAAGAAGCACCGGCUAACUCCGUGCCAGCCGCCGCGGUAAUUC